rnacentral:rRNA from 1 species
CAGUCGCCGCGGUAAUACGGAGGGUGCAAGCGUUAUCCGGAUUUAUUGGGUUUAAAGGGUCCGUAGGCGGACUUAUAAGUCAGUGGUGAAAGCCUGUCGCUUAACGAUAGAACUGCCAUUGAUACUGUAAGUCUUGAGUAUAUUUGAGGUAGCUGGAAUAAGUAGUGUAGCGGUGAAAUGCAUAGAUAUUACUUAGAACACCAAUUGCGAAGGCAGGUUACCAAGAUAUAACUGACGCUGAGGGACGAAAGCGUGGGUAGCGAACAGGAUUAGAUACCCCCGUAGUCCCUGUCUCUUAUAC